UUCGACUCGAGCGCCAGCGAGAGAGCGUUGCCGCAGGCAACGACCCGAAGGGCGAAGCGCGCAGCGCUGAGUAAUCCUUCCCCCACCACCA
rnacentral:sRNA from 2 species